rnacentral:rRNA from 1 species
GACGAACGCUGGCGGCGUGCCUAAUACAUGCAAGUCGAACGAACCGCGACUAGGUGCUUGCACUUGGUCAAGGUGAGUGGCGAACGGGUGAGUAACACGUGGGUAACCUACCUCAUAGUGGGGGAUAACAGGCGGAAACGACUGCUAAUACCGCAUAGAACAUAGGAUCACAUGAUCCAGUGAGGAAAGGUGGCGCAAGCUAUCGCUAAGAGAUGGACCCGCGGUGCAUUAGCUAGUUGGUAGGGUAAAGGCCUACCAAGGCGACGAUGCAUAGCCGACCUGAGAGGGUGAUCGGCCACAUUGGGACUGAGACACGGCCCAAACUCCUACGGGAGGCAGCAGUAGGGAAUCUUCCGCAAUGGACGCAAGUCUGACGGAGCAACGCCGCGUGAGUGAAGAAGGUCUUCGGAUCGUAAAGCUCUGUUGUUAGAGAAGAACAGCGCAUAGAGUAACUGUUAUGCGUGUGACGGUAGCUAACCAGAAAGCCACGGCUAACUACGUG